CAGGACGGUCCGUGGUGAAGGAUUAUCGGAGGAGGAGGAGGACACGCCCCCCGGUUCCUACAAUAUAGGAUCCACUCAGUGGAGAUCUUCUGUAUAAGAUCCUUCUCCUGAUUGACCCGACAAGAAUGGACAGGGACAAGAUGGCGGAGAGUAUGAUAAAUCUCACCCUAGAGAUCCUCUUCCGGCUUACUGGAGAGGACUACACAGUAGUGAAGAAGACCUCUAGUGAGCGCUGUCAGG